GUUUUUAUAGUUUAAAAAAAAACAUAGUUCUGAAAAAACUAAAAUAAAAUUUUUUAAUUUUUAAAAAUA
rnacentral:tRNA from 2 species